CCGUGCCAGCAGCCGCGGUAAUACGGAGGAUGCGAGCGUUAUCCGGAUUUAUUGGGUUUAAAGGGUGCGUAGGCGNCCUGUUAAGUCAGCGGUGAAAUCUAGGAGCUUAACUCNUAAAUUGCCAUUGAUACUGGCGGGCUUGAGUGUAGAUGAGGUAGGCGGAAUGCGUGGUGUAGCGGUGGAAUGCAUAGAUAUCACGCAGAACUCCGAUUGCGAAGGCAGCUUACUAAGGUACAACUGACGCUGAAGCACGAAAGCGUGGGUAUCAAACAGGAUUAGAUACCCUGGUAGUCCACGCAGUAAACGAUGAUAACUGGGCGUAUGCGAUAUACAGUAUGCUCNUAAGCGAAAGCGUUAAGUUAUCCACCUGGGGAGUACGCCGGCAACGGUGAAACUCAAAGGAAUUGACGGGGGCCCGCACAAGCGGAGGAACAUGUGGUUUAAUUCGAUGAUACGCGAGGAACCUUACCCGGGAUUGAAAUGUAGAUGACCGCUCCUGAAAGGGAGUUUUCCUUCGGGACAUCUAUGUAGGUGCUGCAUGGUUGUCGUCAGCUCGUGCCGUGAGGUGUCGGCUUAAGUGCCAUAACGAGCGCAACCCCUGUCUACGGUUGCCAUCAGGUGAUGCUGGGAACUCCGUAGAGACUGCCGUCGUAAGGCGUGAGGAAGGUAGGGAUGACGUCAAAUCAGCACGGCCCUUACAUCCGGGGCGACACACGUGUUACAAUGGUAAGGACAAAGGGCAGCUACCUGGCGACAGGAUGCGAAUCUCUAAACCUUAUCACAGUUCGGAUCGGAGUCUGCAACUCGACUCCGUGAAGCUGGAUUCGCUAGUAAUCGCGCAUCAGCCAUGGCGCGGUGAAUACGUUCCCGGGCCUUGUACACACCGCCCGUCAAGCCAUGGGAGUCUGGAGUACCU
rnacentral:rRNA from 1 species